UUGGUCACGACUGUACCUAAUGGUCAGGGUUCCCUUUAAGUUGCAGUGUGUUUCCUGUUUGUGGACCCAUGGAAUUUACUGCCAGGUAAGUGUGGACAGGAAGAAGCUGAUUGAGGCUGCAAUAUCCUGGGAAUGUGUACACAGCUUGUGUGUGUAACCAGCAGUAGAUUGAGAUGCCCCCAUCCACCAAUAGCAGGAGGAAAGAAACCUGAUGUGUUAGGGGAACCACAAAAUUCACCAAAUCAUUAUUUCAGACAGCAAAAGGCAUUCUAGUUUGGGAGAAAUUGUCAGUUUCUGAGCUCCUUCUGGGCUGAAAGAAACACUGUAAUUGUGGCAGAGCCGCUAUCUUGAGGGAAGAUUUCGGGAUCUUUGGAAUGAUAGUUGUAGAUUUAUUGUACUAUAAACCGAUGGUCUGGAAAAACUCCUAAAAGGGGUUAUGGGUUGAGCUUUUGAAACUGCACAGAUUACAGGAGAGUGGUAGCUACAGCAGAGUUCAACAUAAGGCUUCCAGGUGAACAUACACAAUGAUCACCAUUGCAGCCCCUUCCACAAACUUCUUUAUACUAUGUAUCUCGUUCACUUCUCAUACAAAUGUCUACACUGUGACAAAAUAUAUUUUGAAAGUCAGGGGAGACCAUCUUCCAACAUAUUUGCAUGUUGCAGAGGAGCAGAAAUCACAGGGUAAAGAGGAUUUGCCACCAAAUGCAGCUUUUAUACUUGAAAUCAAAAUAACCUCCCACCAAGACAGGCCUCCAAAUGGGCUUGAGGCAGAUAGCAUUUGUGCUGCAUUGCUACCUUGGUCUCAGCAACACAUGUACAGAUAUCUUCCUGCACAAUACAUCCCCAUUCAAGAGUCCAAGAGCUUGUCGUCCAAAAAGUCGCUUCAUAUUGGAUGUGGCGAUAAAUGUUCAGCCAUACACGGCAUUUGCUAUGUAGCCCUUGCCUAAUUUUGGCCCAUUGUGGAGAAAAUUUCAGAAUAGUACAUCUCACCAAAAUCUGAGCUCUCAAGAUUAAAAAUAGUAGAGCCUAUCCCCUCCUGUCUCUCUUUGUGAAUAUUGUCAAAAGAAGAUUAUCCUCAGAGUUUUCAAGGAGAGGCUGCAGGGCAUAUCAGUGAUGCUAAAACAGUGGAUUUCAUUCAUCAGCAGGUGAUUGAACUACAUGAACGUCCAACUCUAUGAUUACAGGUGUAGGAACCCCAAAUGUGGUUCAGACAAGUCCUCUAUGCUCUAAUCUGGGCCAAUUUAUCUGCCAACUGAGAAAUAGCAUAGGAGAAGUGUGAUGUGUCCAAUCGAUUUAGCAAAUGCAAUGAGGCAAGAACUGUACAUAAUGUUCCGAGUGUGGGUGUACCUGCCACACGACGUCUCAUAUGCCCUAUGCAAGAAGGAUUUGUGUGCUAAUUAAGCAGGGCUAUCACUCAAGUAAAGAGAUGUUAAUGAGUUUUAAUAAAUGAUUCACUUAAAUGUCUUUUUUCUAUUAAAGGGAAGAUUUAUUUGUUUGUUUCUAGAUAAUGCACACAUGUAGCAUAGCAACCAAACAGAAAUCAUUAGGUCCACAGCUAAAUAAAUAUUAAAAUGGAAAAAGUAAAUUGCUAAGCAUGUUGAGGGACUUUAAAGAAGAUUGGGGGCCAUUUUCGCCUGUGUGAACUGGAGCUUUUCACAUGGUAUCUGUGCCAUGUGCAACGGUAGCGAAGGCAGAAGAUAGCAUGGUUGUACACUCCCACCAAUACAGUAUAGGUUUUUCCAAUUCCAUUACAGAAGGCGCUGCCCCAAAAGCACAUCAGCCACUCAUGUGAAAAUGCCCUUUGAUUUAAUGAGCUGUCUCCCUAAUAUAAUAAGCCCCUGUUACAGACACUGGAACAAGUUCAUAAACUACAGAUAGCAACUGGCAGCUGGGAGCAGCGACACAAGACUGGCUCUUUGCCACUUUUUACCAUGCCAGGACUGACUGCCAAGGCCUGGUACAGACUGGUGAGUUUAGCCCACAGAAAUCAUUCCGACUUGCUUUCCCCCCUGAUUUUGCUGGGAAAGGACAAGUUAUUGUUUGCCUCAAAGCAAUUCCCUGAUGCAACUAAUGAGCUUUCAAAGGGGAUCAGUCACACUUGGCACUUCAUGGCUACUUGCUGGGCCACGACAGUUGCGUUUUCCGCUCAGGAUUGUUUGCAGUAUCUUUUUCCCAGGGCCUCAAGGAGUAAACAUUUGUAUAUCAGCCCAAGACCAAGAUGACAUAAUGUGACUGGACGGAUUUCAAGGACUUCCACUUUUAAAUUACUGCAUGGAUCUGCCUGAUCUGUGGGCCUGAAGCACAGUUGCAGAAAGACAGCAAUCUAUUUCCCCACCUGGAAUAUAAACAGGCCUUAUAACUUUGUAGUAUAAGUGCUUUGUAUUUCAGAGCUAUAUUGUGCAUUGGAAGCCUUUCAAAACUGAGAUGUUGAUGUAUUGUACUAAUUGAGCUGCCAGGGGAGUGGGGAUCGACAGAGUAAACAUUUCUUAAUUGUUUAUAUUUUUCCAUUAAUCAUUAAAAGUUUCCUACAUAACAAA